UUACCCCAAAUUUCCCCCUGAAAUCCCUAAUCUUCCCAUGGCCGACAAUAUUUUCUCAUAGAAAAUAUUUGAUUCUCCCUCCAUCUUCCAAUCUUUUUAGUUCCCUUCCCAUUACAAAUCAGUUUUCCAUUCCAAACCCUAACAAACGUUUAACAAAAAAACACCCCUUCUUCAUCGUUUUGAACUCCUCCAUUGUUUUCUCUACUUCCCCUCCUUCUUCUGAUCUCCAAUGGCUAUCCCCGCCGUAAACGUUUAACAAAAAGACACCCUUUUGUUUAUACCCAAUGCCAGUGUAUCCACGCGCGUUCGAUUUUCCCGUGUCUAGACACUCCCGCAGCGAGAAUCCGUUACUCUGCUUUGCUUAAUGUCCCUCGGAAGUUAUCCGCCAUUUCAAGUGAAUAAUUUUCAUUCUUCCUUUAAUUUUUGCCUAACAAUAAGCUCAUCACUCCCUCAAUCUUGUUUGUCGUUUUCAAAUAGACCCCUUUCUCUUCUAAUGUUUCUGCCGGUUAUUUUUGUUGGAGAUGUUGGGGCUGCUGCAGGGAUAAGAUGAGGUCAUCGAGGAAGAAUCAAGCGUCGUCAAGCAGCGGAGGUGAAGGGAAUCAAGACGGGAUUACGGAUGAAGAAGCUCUUUCCAAUAUCACCAAACAAAAAGCCGCUGCUACCAAGCAGUAUAUUGAGAAUCAUUACAAGGAGCAGAUGAAGAAUCUUCAAGACAGAAAAGAGAGGUAUAAAGAUGAACCAAGUAUUAUGAAGUACAUAAAGAUUGCAGCUACCUUGCCUGAUAAAACUGUAUGUGAUGUUGCAUUGAGGUGUUGGUGGAUGCAAGCCCAUGCAUGAAGUUACAUUUUCAACAGAAGACAAACCAAAACUUCUUAGUCAGUUAGUGAAUCCGGAGAGUGGCUAUAAUUAUAGAGCUGUCAAAAGAUGGACUUCACAAAGGAAGCUGGGUUACUGCCUAUUGGACUGUGAUAAAGAACACAUGCCCUAUGCCCUAUUUUCGUUUAAGGACCGCCAAGGAAAUUCUGAAACUGAAAGCUGAUUGAUCGGAUGUGUAUGCCAGCUUUCAUCAACUACUUUCGAAGGCCUUACUAGGAAUUGAAAUGGUGUGCAAAGAGAUUGCUUCUUCUGAUCUGAUUUUUCGAUAUAAAUAUUGGACAAAGUAUGGAUAUUUCUUGUCAGUUGCAUAUACUGCUGUUAGUAAAAUAGGAUUCUCUUCUUAGGAUCUUAGUUUCUUCACUUGUAUUAGACUCAACAAUGGCUAGCAUUGCAUUGGUGUUGAUUUUACCUAAAUUUUGAGGUUUACAAUUUUAAUUUUAUUAAUUAUUUACGUUUUCUCACUUUUA